rnacentral:rRNA from 1 species
GCUUACGGCCAUACCACCCUGAACAUGCCCGAUCUCGUCCGAUCUCGUAAGUUAAGCAGGUCGGGCCUGGUUAGUACUUGGAUGGGAGACCGCCUGGGAAUACCAGGUGCUGUAAGCU